rnacentral:tRNA from 1 species
GUCAUGAUAGCUCAAGUGGGAGAGCAGCGGCGUAAUAAGCCGAAGGUCGUGGGUUCGAAUCCCGCUCGUGACA